rnacentral:rRNA from 1 species
UAUGUCAUCAUAUACAUCUUCGUGUAGAAAGUCUUAGAAUGUUUACUAUCAGAGAGUCGCGACUUCUAGGAGACGCGAAACUCUGAGAUAAAAGUUAUUACAACUUUCAGCAAUGGAUCUCUUGGCUCUCGCAUCGAUGAAGAACGCAGCGAAAAGCGAUAUGUAAUGUGAAUUGCAGAUCUACAGUGAAUCAUCGAAUCUUUGAACGCACCUUGCGCUCCUCGGUGUUCCGAGGAGCAUGCCUGUUUGAGUGUCAGUAAAUUCUCAACCCUUCUUGAUUGAGGGAGUUUGGAUAGUGGGGGUUGCUGGAGACUUUUAUUAGACUCGAGCUCUCCUGAAAUGCAUCGGCUUGCGGUCGACUUUCGACUUUGCGCGACAAGGCUUUCGGCGUGAUAAUGAUCGCCGUUCGCUGAAGCGCAUGACUGAAGGUUUCGCGCCUCUAAUACGUCGACUCUUAUUAUCUCUUCGGAGAGAAAAGGUCUUCUUUAUUGACUUUUGACCUCAAAUCAGGUAGGACUACCCGCUGAACUUAA